rnacentral:rRNA from 1 species
UACAGAGGGGGCCAGCGUUAUUCGGAAUUAUUGGGCGUAAAGGGCGCGUAGGCGGCUUUGCGUGUCUUUCGUGAAAUCCCUCGGCUCAACUGAGGACGUGCGGAAGAAACUGCAGGGCUGGAGUCCGGGAGAGGAGGGUGGAAUUCCCAGUGUAGCGGUGAAAUGCGUAGAUAUUCGGAAGAACACCAGUGGCGAAGGCGACACACUGGCCCAUUACUGACGCUGAGGCUCGAAAGCGUGGGGAGCAAACAGG